rnacentral:rRNA from 1 species
AUGGCAAACCUCGCUGAUUCCUUCUUGGCCGAUCUUGACGAACUUUACCGAAAAAGGCUUUCGCCCCGCUUUACAAAUAAAGCAAACCGCCAGAGAGCACAGAUACAUAAUCAAGAAGAAGACAACGCUGAGGCAGUGGGUGUGGAUGAGGAUGGUGACGAUGAUAUGCCUGACCUCGAGUCUCUUAAUUAUGACGAUCUUGACAGUGUCUCAAAACUACAUAAGACACAACGUUAUAUUGACAUAAUGCAAAAAGUCGAAGGAGCGCUUGAGAAAGGCACAGAUUUGUCUAAUCAAGGGUUCAUCCUGGAGGAGGAUCCAGAGUACCAGCUCAUUGUAGAUUGCAAUGCUUUAUCAGUAGAUAUUGAGAAUGAACUCAUUAUAGUCCAUAAUUUCAUACGUGAUAAGUAUCGGCUGAAGUUUCCUGAACUGGAAUCCCUUGUUCAUCAUCCGAUUGAUUAUGCCCAUGUUGUUAAGAAGAUCGCCAAUGAGAUGGAUUCAACACUAGUAGAUCUGGAAGGGCUUUUACCUUCUGCAGUUAUAAUGGUUGUCUCUGUAACAGCGUUGACAACUAGUGGGAAGCCUCUUUCUGAGGAGAAUUUGGUAAAAACCAUUGAAGCAUGUUACAGAGCCCUUAAUCUUGAUGCUGCAAAGAAGAAGGUGCUUGAUUUUGUUGAGGGUAGAAUGGGUUACAUCGCACCAAACCUUUCUGGCAUUGUUGGCAGUGCUGUUGCUGCUAAACUGAUGGGGAUUGCUGGUGGUUUGGGAGCACUGGCAAAAAUGCCUGCUUGCAAUUUUCGUGUUGGCUAUCUUGAACAAACCAAAGUAUUUCAGAGCACCCCUCCAGCCCCGAGGACCCGUGCUUGCAGGCUUAUAGCUGCAAAGUCGACUCUAGCAGCAAGAAUCAAUUCGAUUAGAGGUGAUCCAACUGGAAAAGCUGGUCGCAACUUGUUAGAAGAAAUCCGCAAGAAGAUCGAGAAGUGGCAGGAACCACCUCCUGCAAAGCUUCCAAAACCACUUCUAUAUGCGGUAACUGAUAUGAUGAAGCUUGCAAACCGAAUGCAGUUUGGAAUACCAGAGGAGAGCUCAUUAGUUCAGUUGGUUUUGACAGUAUGUGAUGGUUUGGGGGAAGGUUAUGGCAUGCUCGGGCAGGCCGGAAGUGGGAAGCUACGUGUCUCAGCUGCACAGAACAAAUUCUCUGCUAAAGUGGACAAAAAAUUCAAGGAGAAGAGUUAUGGUAGGAGUGGUGCAACAUCUGGACUGACAUCUAGUUUGGCCUUUACACCAGUUCAGGGAAUAGAACUGUCAAACCCACAGGCACACGGGAACCUUCUUGGAAGUGGAAUCCAGAGCACCUACUUCUCGGAGACCGGCACAUUUUCUCGGAUCCGUAGGCCUGGAGGUUAG